CGCGCGCUUUUACGCGGCCCUCCCCCCAACCCCCCGGACUACUCCAGCUUGCUGAUGUCAAGCCAGGGGGGCUGGGCUGCUGCGCCACGGUGCCCUGGGAAUGCAAGAUUUCGGGGUUCCCCAGGGACACAGAGGAACCCGAUGGGACAUAUAGGGAAUUUGGAGCGGAUUUAAGCUUAGAUGCAUGCUCUUUAAUCGCUCAAACUCAGGAUUAGGUACUUUCUUUGGGGUGUCAAUCGAGAACCCCUUUCCUCAACAAGCAACUCCAGCGUUGGAAAAGGCCUGAUCCUGCCAGAGGAGAGAUUUAGAGGAAUCGGUGAUUGUCGUUCAGGGAAGGAAAGCAAAAGAAGAGUUGGGUUAGAUAGAGAAGGGUGCCGGCUUCCUUGGAAAAGGGUGCUGGGGGCUGAAUGAGAGCACGCAGGCAGGGGGAGGGGGGCGCUCAGAGGGAGAGCUGCGCGGCCUUCCAGGCAGAAGGAACACCGUGUCCAAACGCACAGAAGCGUGAAAGCCCCCACGAGUGCUUUGACGUUGUGGUGGGUCAAGUCUACCUGACGAGGCGAACAGGGAACUCUUCGGGGAGAAAAUCCUGCCUGUCAAUCUCAUAUUCUCAGUUCCCUUCUAUCAGAUGGGGGCUUAUUGUGCUGCCUCAUACCCACUAAAGGGCGUGAAACCCAGAAUUCUCACUAUGUCUUUUAAUGUAGUUAAAGAUUGGGCCUUCGAGAUGGCUCAGUGGGUAAAGACGCUGCCAAGUUUGCUGACCUGAGUUCGAUCUUCUGGACCUUGGAAGGAGAGAAUGGAACCCUGCAGGUUGUUCCUCUGAUUUGUACAUGCGUGCACACACGUAAUUUCAAUAAAUAACUGAUAGCUCUA